rnacentral:tRNA from 1 species
CAUUAAGUGGCCGAAAUUUUAAGCAUUGAUCUCUUAAAUCAAAACAUAAUAUAUUAAUAUUCUUAAUGA